rnacentral:siRNA from 1 species
AGACGCUUGAGGAUAUGUUGCGGA